UCCCUUGUGGCUCAGACGGUAAAGCGUCUGCCUACAAUGCAGGAGACCCGGGUUCGACCCCUGGGUCAGGAA
rnacentral:tRNA from 1 species